GCUCAACCGAGGAAGUGCUUCGAAAACUGGUAAACUUGAGUGCAGAAGAGGAAAGUGGAACUCCAUGUGUAGCGGUGGAAUGCGUAGAUAUAUGGAAGAACACCAGUGGCGAAGGCGGCUUUCUGGUCUGUAACUGACGCUGAGAUUCGAAAGCAUGGGUAGCAAACAGGAUUAGAUACCCUGGUAGUCCAUGCCGUAAACGAUGAGUGCUAAGUGUUGGAGGGUUUCCGCCCUUCAGUGCUGCAGCUAACGCAUUAAGCACUCCGCCUGGGGAGUACGAUCGCAAGAUUGAAACUCAAAGGAAUUGACGGGGGCCCGCACAAGCGGUGGAGCAUGUGGUUUAAUUCGAAGCAACGCGAAGAACCUUACCAGGUCUUGACAUACCAUGAAAAGCUAAGAGAUUAGUCUUUCCCUUCGGGGACAUGGAUACAGGUGGUGCAUGGUUGUCGUCAGCUCGUGUUGUGAGAUGUUGGGUUAAGUCCCGCAACGAGCGCAACCCUUAUUAUCAGUUGCCAGCAUUCAGUUGGGCACUCUGGUGAGACUGCCGGUGACAAACCGGAGGAAGGUGGGGACGACGUCAAAUCAUCAUGCCCCUUAUGACCUGGGCUACACACGUGCUACAAUGGUCGGUACAACG
rnacentral:rRNA from 1 species